UCAAAAAAAGUCCACAAGUCAAAAAGGUGCUAAAUUCUUCUACCAAUGUGCCACAUAAGCAAGGUCAAAGGAAAUAAAAGCACAAGACAUUCUCUUCUUCAUAUCAAUGCACGGUAAUUGCUAGCAAAAGACAAAGAUCAAAAUGGAAAUAUUCCUUCUAUGAAAAUGUGCUUCAUAUUUUGCUUGUCCAAAAGAGGUAAAAACUUAAAUGCUCCAUUUCUCUCUCUCUUCUACACACCAGACAUUUUUUCCUUCAACAACAUGCAUCCAAAUGUUUUCUUCUCUUCACAUUACCGUCCCUAUACCCCAAGAAACCAAAGUUCAAAUUGCAAAUGAUCUCAAGAACAAUAAACCCAAACUUCUACUCAUCAAUCCACUUCUAACACUAACUUUUCUUCAACUUUCUUUGCAAAAACGAAAAUAAAACCUAAACCAUCAACUCCAGCUCUGUCCAGCCACCAUAACAACACAAAAAUAUGGUCCAUUCCUUGUUUCAAACAUCAAAAACGAAAACCAAGAAGAAAGGGUCCAAACCACAACACCACACAUCAACUUAAUCUCUCUUCAACCCAAAACUCACAUAGAACUCCAUUUUUAUCAUCCAACCAAACGAAAUGCAAGGAAAAACGAGAAGAGCAGCAGCAAAUGAAGAGGAAAACGAAAAUAUAAAGUUACUCAAACCCAACAAUCACCAUGGAAAUGCAAAGACAAGCUCCAAAGCUCAAGCUUCAAACAUCAAGAACAAGCAAAUGGAAGUAGAAAUGAAUAUUUUCACCAUCAAUAAGCUAAGACAAACAAGAGCAAGUUAAGAGAAGAAGAAAAAUAUGGUCUUGGUCAUU
rnacentral:lncRNA from 1 species